rnacentral:rRNA from 1 species
AAAGGAGGGGCAAUACCGAAUAUUGUCCGGAACCGUGAAGGGUUUCGGGGAAAGGGAGGCCUCUGACACAAGCUUUCGCCUUAAGAUGAGCCCAUGGCCCAUCAGCUAGUUGGUAGGGUAAAGGCCUACCAAGGCUACGACGGGUCGCUGGUCUGAGAGGACGACCAGCCACACUGGCACUGAGAUACGGGCCAGACUCCUACGGGAGGCAGCAGUGAGGAAUAUUGCGCAAUGGGGGAAACCCUGACGCAGCAACGCCGCGUGUGGGAAGAAGGCCUUCGGGUCGUAAACCACUUUUACUCGGGACGAAAAAGGGAUAUCAAAUAAAUAUCCCCGAUGACGGUACCGUGAGAAUAAGCCACGGCUAACUCUGUGCCAGCAGCCGCGGUAAGACAGAGGUGGCAAGCGUUGUUCGGAAUUACUGGGCGUAAAGAGUCUGUAGGUGGUUUGUCAAGUCUUUGGUGAAAGGCCGUAGCUUAACUAUGGGAAUGCCAAAGAGACUGGCAGGCUGGAGGCUGGGAGAGGGAAGCGGAAUUUCUGGUGUAGCGGUGAAAUGCGUAGAUAUCAGAAGGAAGGCCGGUGGCGAAGGCGGCUUCCUGGAACAGUCCUGACACUGAGAGACGAAAGCGUGGGGAGCAAACAGGAUUAGAUACCCUGGUAGUCCACGCCCUAAACGAUGGGUACUAAGUGUGGAGGGGUUAAACCCUCCGUGCCGCAGCAACGCAGUAAGUACCCGCCUGGGGAGUACGGCCGCAGGUUGAACUCAAAGGAAUUGACGG